rnacentral:rRNA from 1 species
CCUACGGGUGGCAGCAGUAGGGAAUCUUCCACAAUGGGCGAAAGCCUGAUGGAGCAACGCCGCGUGGGUGAAGAAGGUCUUCGGAUUGUAAAACCCUGUUGUUAGAGAAGAAAGUGAGUGAGAGUAACUGUUCACGUUUCGACGGUAUCUAACCAGAAAGCUACGGCUAACUACGUGCCAGCAGCCGCGGUGAUACGUAGGUGGCAAGCGUUAUCCGGGUUUAUUGGGCGUAAAGGGAACGCAGGUGGUCGUUUAAGUCUGAUGUGAAAGCCUUCGGGUUAACCGGCGUAGUGCAUUGGAAACUGGGAGACUGGAGUGCAGGAGAGGAGAGUGGAACUCCAUGUGUAGCGGUGAAAUGCGUAGAUAUAUGGAAGAACACCAGUGGCGAAGGCGGCUCACUGGUCUGUAACUGACGCUGAGGUUCGAAAGCGUGGGUAGCAAACAGGAUUAGAUACCCCAGUAGUC